rnacentral:misc_RNA from 1 species
CAGUGGUUACCCUGUGACAAACUUGACGUGGUGUUGCACAGCGAGUCGGGGGAUAUUUUCGAUUUGCGGAGCGGUCUGGUAGGAUGUCUGGUAGGCCUAUCAUAAUAAUAUUAUGUUAAAGUAUUAAACAAUAAACAGUAUUUUCGAAAUUACGAAAGUAAGUGUAAGUAGUCAGUGAUUGUCGAUUGAAGACUGAAGUACUGAGAAUGAGAGAAGCAGAGAACUAAAGAAGAUCUCCUCUACUAUGUUUUGUCAACGAUCACUUUGAAAAAUACACAGAUUCAGAUCAGCGUAGACACUUAUCUGCAGAAAACAAUUAGAUAAUUUAUAUAGAAGUUUGUGCGUUGCCAUAAUGGAUAUAACUGAAAAAGUUUUGGAAAAAUUACAAAUCCAAGUACUCAAAGAUGGAAGUUGUGAUUGCAAUGAUGAAGAAUGCAUUGGGUGCUUUUGGCCGUGUGAAUCGUGCCAGUCAAACAAAUGUGGACACCUAUGCCGUAUCAAUCGUGGGUGGAAGUAUGAAGUAUGGGAAAGACAAGGAAGAAGUGAUAAAUAAUAAUUUGUAUCUUAAUUAUAUUUUAAAUAUUGUAAAUAUAACUAAAUACAAUUUAAUUCUAUGAUAAUAUUGUAAAUAAAUUGUAUGUUUUUAUCAAUCAACAAAUUUGUAUAGGACUAACCAAAUAAACCUUGAAGUUAUUCAGCA